CUACUGCAAGAGAGACGCUCACAGCAAUCAUGUUACUCUUCUUCAUUUUUAUAGUUGUUAAAAACAUUGCUACUGUUGACAGCAGCAUUACACCAGAUCAAGCCAUCAUAUCUUCAAGUGAAGGCAGCAUCACCACACUGACCUGCACUUAUAAUCAAUCAGCUGAGUCUCUCCAUUGGUAUCGACAAAAGCCUCAAUCAGGACCAGAGUUUCUGCUGCUAAUUAUUGUAUCUUCAAAUGAUGUCAUUAAUGCUAAACAACCUGACCCAAGACUGUCUAUCAGACUUCGUGAGGGAAAGAAAGUAGAUCUGGAGAUCUUUCCUGCUGCAGUAUCAGACUCUGCACUGUACUACUGCGCCCUGCAGCCCACAGCGACACAAAACUCAAACAGACUGUACAAAAACUGAAGUUUUUUUUUUGUUUGUUUGUUGUUGUUUUUUCUUCUCAGGAGGGGGAGC